CAAAAUAUACGGAGUAUUAGUCCAGGUCUGCGUCUCACCUUGUUGGGUUAACCGACAUCUCAUUCCAAUCAAAAGCCCCAUAUAAAAUCCCUAACCGGCCGGACGCUAUCGAUCUCCUUUCUUCUCCGGCGAUUAGCCGUUCAAAAUAUCUACGUCGGCGAUCACCAUCCCUGAACGUAACACCUCUUCUCCCGCGCUAAAUUUCGACCGAUAGGUUUUCAGCAAGUCCGCCUUGGUAACAGCGGAAGCUGGCAAAAAGAGAAAAAAGAAACAAGUUUUCAUUAUUUGUCUGGAUAAUGAGUUGACGUGAUAAUGAGUAGACUCUCAUUUAGGCCACGCCCACUUGACAUUCACAAGAAGUUACCUAUUGUAAAAUCUGUAAAGGAUUUUGAAGAUGAUGAUUCACAGUCCAAUACCCGCAAUCAAAUCAUUCGUCUAGCUGCCGAAGCGGCAGAUAUUGAGGUACAACAGACUUCUAGCAAGAAGUUUAUUCCUGAAAUACCUAUACCCGAGUAUGUGGUGGUGGAUACAUAUGAAAGAGAUUAUUCACGCACUUUUGCACAGCCAACAUCUUAUAUACAUGCUAGAGGAGCCCGAGCCGAGAUUGGAGAAUUUGUUGAGUACGAUCUUGACAAUGAGGAUGAAGAUUGGCUUCAAGACCUAAACAGAGAGAGGAAGGCUCUUGCAGCUGAAAAGUUGGAGACCAUUCUGCACAAAUUAGAGGUGUUAGAUCACAAGGCCCGAGAAAGAGCAGGAGUGAUUACUCCUACUCUUAACUCACCUAUCCCGGUGCUUCUAAGUUUCGAUGCUUCUGUUGAGGCAUUGCAAUCUCUAACAAUCAAAUAUGGAGUUUUCCAGUCAAUUUAUACUUACUGGAAAGACAAGGUACCUAUUCCUCACCAAAUUAUGUUGUGUGAUACUGUGAUUUAACAUCAUUUUAUGUUGUGUAAUUUGAUGAAGAAAAAGUAAAUGGGAUUCCAGUUGGAGGGAUUAUUUUAGUUGGUAUUGAUUCUGGUUCCUCUCCACUUAUUCUUAUACUAGCAUGAUCAGUAGUGGCCAUUGUAAUCAUUUGGAUCGUUUGGGAUGGCUGAAACUAUGUAUCUUAAAUGGUUGUGAACGGAAAUGUGGCUUCUAUUAGCGGGAACGGUGGCAGAAGCCUAUUCUUCGGCGUUUGCAGCCUCCUCCACCUGUUAGUGAUACCAAUCCAUAUAAUGUAUUUAGGCCAAGGGAGAAGGCUCACAGACUUCACACAAGGAGGAUGCAAAGGAGGGAAAACAAUGUGCAGUCAUUUGAAAAGCUUCGCCAGGUUAGGCGCAGCCUUGACCAAUCAAAGACCAUUCUUGAGGCUCUCAUUAAGAGAGAGGAGAAGAAACGAGAAGUUGUGGAGAGUGAGGUUAGUCUUCAGAGACUUCAGAUGAAACACAAGGUAUGUAGAGUGUGGUAUUUUCUUCUUUCUCCUUUGCAACUUUUAUGCUUGUAAUACCUACUUGCCGAAGUGAUAUUGCCGUUUGACAAUCCACAAUGAAGUAACUUUUUUUGAGUCACAAGUCAUGACAGGAGACAACAUUUUACGAGUAUGCCCUCUCUCUUUUUAAUGAUGAUUGCUUUCUGAGUUAUAUGAAAUUGAGUUAAUUAUAUUACAUGCUAUGAAUCAACUCCAUUUGCUGUACUGGAAAAGAACUUUCAUUAGAAACAGUACUGGAAAAGAAUAUUUUGUAAUCCAUUAAUAGUUGGUUGUGCUGAAUGGGCUGGUGAUAAAUCAUUUGGAUAGGUUAAAAGUGGAGGUAACUCUUUAUGGCAAGUACUAUCUUUGAUUGUGGCCUGUGGGACAGAUCUUUUUUUAGCCGACUGCCUCUUUGUCAACUGCCAUAUUGCCAUGACCUCUUCAAUUCAACAUCUUUUAGCACCAUAACUGGUUCUCAGCUCUUUGGUAUAAGCUUUAAGGUCAUUUAUGUGCAAUGCGCUUUGAUUCUGAAUGAAUAAUAGUAAGUUUCUUGGUUUCCAGAACGAAAUUGAGCUUUUCGAGGACACGUUGGCUCUUCCUGGAUUUCCUUCCUUCCCAAGUAUGUUUGGUUCAAGUGAAGAGGAAUAUGUUGACUCGGAUGAUGCUGCUAUUAGCCGUCCACAUGCUCAGUUUGAUGUCUCGCCAAAUCUUACCUUCGUUGACUCAAAGCCAGUGAUGGUGUCUGCUGGAAGCAUGAGGCAAGAGCGAGAGUUGAAACGUCGACAUGUCCCACCUGGAUGGCUCCACAAAUUGGAUCCAAAUGAGCCACUUCUCCUGUUUACUAAACCUCUUGAUCCAGAAAAAUUGGCAGCUGCAAGUAUCAAACCUCCAGGUUCUUCAAUGGAAAAUGGCCUAGCUGGACGCACAUUCAAUUCUCGUGGAAGGAUUGGUCGAGGUGGCAGAAUAGUGUUUGAUAGAUGGAACCCACUUAUGCAUACUCCAAUUGAGUGUGCCGAUGCAUUAAAUUCUGCUCAUCCCUGAUAUAAUCAACUAUUCCCAUGGUUCUUUUGUCCAUCCACAUUUAAGAGGGGGAAUUCGUAGUGUUGUUUUUCAAGCUUUUGAGCCCUUGAUGAAUUUUGACGACACUAGAAAACUCUCUUUUGUCGAAAGUGGUAAGGACAAUGUGUCCUUUGUUUCUUUUACUGCUGCAGGAUGUGUCACUCUAGUUAUUUCUUGUGUCGGUUAAAGAGGGAAAUCAUCUCUCUGCCUAGUGUUAGAUUUGAUGUCCAAGAUGAUAGGAAAAUAGAGCUCUUCUUUCUUUCCUCCUUCCUCCUACCAUACAGAAUGUCACGAAGUAUAUGCCUAGCUACAAAAUGUAAGCUUCUAUAUUGUGAAUUUUACCAACCAGUUCUGGUCGUACCUUGUGAAGAACUCACUUUAUUAUUGGAUCUUCUAGUAAGGUCCGGCCGGGCCUGUGUUGAAAUUGAAAUCUGUCUGGAUGCAGCUGAGAGCCGGAUUCUAACCAAAUUAUCAUGUGAUAAUUUGUUUCUACUUUUGACACGAUUUACUUGCAGAAGUUAAAUAAUAUUGUAUGUCGUAGUAUUAGAAAUUUUGUUUCCUAUUAGAUGUUGUACACUGUAUAAAAUGGGCUAUCAUGUGUUGCUUCAACUGAACAAGAUACAAGAAAGGAGACUGUUUAUUAGCAUCCUGUAAGUGUAAGGCUCCAUUGUAACAUUUAGAAAAUUCCACACAACAGAACGUGGUUGUAUUUUUCUCUA